CACAAAAUACAAAAAUUGUUGGAAGCUUGAAAGGGAAGCCAAGUUUGCCCAUUUCUCGUAGCAAUUUACAGCAACCUAGCAUCGUCACGUCUGAAACGUAGCCUCCAAUGUAGAUCUAUUUACUGUGGGUUUCCCUUGUGAAAAAGAAUGGCUAGCUCCAAGCCUGAGAACAAACAAACUGAGGUAUACAUCGUUUGUCAACGAUGCUGUCAGCCAUUAGUUUUGCAUCCCUCAUUCCACACAGUUGAAUCAGAAGAACUUCAACGCCUAGCAGCACCCCUUGUUCCUGAAGAAGAAGCUGCAAGCUUUACCGGUGAAUCUUCUGCACGGCAGCCACAAGCAGGGGCGGCAGCAGCAACAUCCAGUGAUGGUGUCAUUCGCCGCAAUGUCUCAAGAAUGAAGUAGGU